UACGUAGGGCGCAAGCGUUGUCCGGAAUUAUUGGGCGUAAAGAGCUCGUAGGCGGCUUGUCACGUCGGUUGUGAAAGCCCGGGGCUUAACCCCGGGUCUGCAGUCGAUACGGGCAGGCUAGAGUGUGGUAGGGGAGAUCGGAAUUCCUGGUGUAGCGGUGAAAUGCGCAGAUAUCAGGAGGAACACCGGUGGCGAAGGCGGGUUGCUGGGCCGACACUGACGCUGAGGCGCGAAAGCCAGGGGAGCGAACGGG
rnacentral:rRNA from 1 species